GCUUUCCAAAGUCACCUUAUUAACAUAAACCCAGUUGUAGUGGAAAGGAGCUUGAAACCAAAAUACCCAUUUCACCUUUAUGGCAGUGAAGUGUUUUCAAGAAUGGAGGACAGUUUCAGGUGUACAAUAUGGUGAUUCAAGAAUUCCAUACAUCACCUUGUGCUCAUCAUGCUUCGCACUGAAAAUGAUCACAAAAUGGGAGGAGCCUGGACACGUUGGUGACUACUUGGAGCAAAGCCUCCACGUCCCAAACACAUUGGAUUGUGAU